CGUAGGGGGCGAGCGUUGUCCGGAUUUAUUGGGCGUAAAGAGCUCGUAGGCGGCUCAGUUAGUCGGGUGUGAAACCCCCGGGCUCAACCCGGGGACGCCACCCGAUACUGUUGUGGCUAGAGUCCGGUAGGGAGCGUGGAAUUCCUGGUGUAGCGGUGAAAUGCGCAGAUAUCAGGAGGAACACCGGUGGCGAAGGCGGAUCUCUGGGCCUUACCUGACGCUCAGGUGCGAAAGCUAGGGGAGCGAACAGG
rnacentral:rRNA from 1 species